rfam:Ornithorhynchus anatinus chromosome 5, whole genome shotgun sequence.
GUCAGCGUGGCUUAGUGGAAAGAGCCUGGGCUUGGGAGUCAGAGCUCAUGGGUUCUAAUCCCGACUCUGCCA